GCAGAGUACCAGACAACAGUGGAUAUUCACUCGAAUGCAGCAGAUUCUUUGGGGAGCGUGGCCUGAGGAUAGGAUGGUGUUGAGAGCCGAACUGGAACUAGACUAUUCGGAAUCCAAGAGAGACAGGAAGAGAAGAAAGAGGAAACACCUCCC